rnacentral:rRNA from 1 species
AACGAACGCUGGCGGCAUGCCUAACACAUGCAAGUCGAACGAGACCUUCGGGUCUAGUGGCGCACGGGUGCGUAACGCGUGGGAACCUGCCCUUAGGUUCGGAAUAACUCCCCGAAAGGGGUGCUAAUACCGGAUAAUGUCUUCGGACCAAAGAUUUAUCGCCUUUGGAUGGGCCCGCGUUGGAUUAGCUAGUUGGUAGGGUAAAAGCCUACCAAGGCGACGAUCCAUAGCUGGUCUGAGAGGAUGAUCAGCCACACUGGGACUGAGACACGGCCCAGACUCCUACGGGAGGCGGCAGUGGGGAAUAUUGGACAAUGGGCGAAAGCCUGAUCCAGCAAUGCCGCGUGAGUGAUGAAGGCCUUAGGGUUGGAAAGCUCUUUUACCCGGGAUGAUAAUGACAGUACCGGGAGAAUAAGCUCCGGCUAACUCCGUG